rnacentral:rRNA from 1 species
UACGUAGGGGGCUAGCGUUGUCCGGAUUUAUUGGGCGUAAAGAGCGUGUAGGCGGCCAUACAGGUCCGUUGUGAAAACUCGAGGCUCAACCUCGAGACGUCGAUGGAAACCGUAUGGCUAGAGUCCGGAAGAGGAGAGUGGAAUUCCUGGUGUAGCGGUGAAAUGCGCAGAUAUCAGGAAGAACACCCGUGGCGAAGGCGGCUCUCUGGGACGGUACUGACGCUGAGACGCGAAAGCGUGGGGAGCAAACAGG